rnacentral:rRNA from 1 species
UAAGGAAUAUUGGUCAAUGGACGCAAGUCUGAACCAGCCAUGCCGCGUGAAGGAUGAAGGUCCUCUGGAUUGUAAACUUCUUUUAUCUGGGACGAAAACGGGAUUUUUAUCUCAAUUGACGGUACCAGAGGAAUAAGCACCGGCUAACUCCGUGCCAGCAGCCGCGGUAAUAUGGAGGGUGCGAGCGUUAUCCGGAUUUACUGGGUUUAAAGGGUGCGUAGGUGGGCUUAUAAGUCAGUGGUGAAAUCUCCGAGCUUAACUUGGAAACUGCCGUUGAUACUAUAGGUCUUGAAUUAUCUGGAGGUAAGCGGAAUAUGUCAUGUAGCGGUGAAAUGCUUAGAUAUGACAUAGAACACCAAUUGCGAAGGCAGCUUACUACAUAUAAAUUGACGCUGAGGCACGAAAGCGUGGGGA